rnacentral:lncRNA from 1 species
GCGGCGUGGCGCUGACGUCACCGGGGCGGUCGCCGGGAGCCCGCGCACCGGGACCCCCGGGAGGAACUGCCGGGAACCACCGGGAAUUACCGGGAAUUAGCGGGGGCUGCUCCGGGAGGAGCCCCCGGGCACGGCGGGGCCCCGCGCGGCUCCAGGGACCGCCGCGAUGCGCAGCGGAGCAUCCCGGAGAGGCGCGGGAAUGCCCCGGGCAGGGCAGCUGGAAUGGAGCUGGCUCCUAGAAAGGCUGAAUGCUUGGAGUCAGAAAAUUCCCUGCUGUCACAUCGUCCCUUGCCUUGGAGCUGGGCUCAGGCUUACAGUGAUUCCUGUUGCACACUCUUCCCAUCCCAGGUGUCAACUGAGCAGAGUCAGGAUCAGCUGCAGUUAUUCCAGAGUACGUGUCCACGUGCAGAAUAUUCCAGAACAGCAGCAGCAGCAGUGGCCAGCACUGAGAUUGAGCAGGAUGGAGUGGCCUGGCCAAGCCGUGGCCCCGCUGGCAAGAGCUGCAGAGUGGACAGCAGAGGGAACACAGCUUGGUGGUGAAGGUGCUGUUCUCCUGAAAGAGGAUCCUGGCAAAAACAUGGCUUGGUGCCGGGGACGGCACGCCGAAGGCAAGGUAGGACCUUGUGUGCUGGGAACAGGUGUGGGUACAUGUCCCCUUUUCCUCACUGCAGCAGGACAGUCGGGCACAGGGAAUCCUGAGAGCCCCCAGAGGGAUGGUCUCCAUCACACAUCUGUGAGGAGGGGAGCUUGUGGUGCCUGUGGCAGGCUUUGCCUUGUGCUGGCUUCUGUUUCCUUGGGUCAGGCUGCAGCUGAGCAGGACCCUGGUCCUCCCAGCCAUGGGACCCAAAGGGGCACUUGUGGCACUGGGUUUGGCUGUGUGUUGUGAGCCAUUUCUGCUGCUUGCAGUCUGUUCACUGCAGGCCUGAAGGACAUGCUCCAAAAUGAGCCAAAAUACCCUCUCCUGAACAGAAAUACACCAGAACUGGUUCAGCUUGGGGAACUCAAGUUGAAGGAGCCGUAGCACAGGGCGCUCAUGAGUGUGAGGUGUAGAUGCUUUCAGGGAAGAUGAGGGUGGAACCCUUUGGCUGUGCAUGGUCAGGUUUGAAUUCAGCCUCUGGGCUCACAUCUCAGAAAGCCUGAAUUCAGUUCUCAUUUUUCCAGGGAUGAGGAAACUCAACACUGUCAAUCUCCUCUUUCCUCUUCAGACAGCGGCAGACACUUGAAUGGAGGCUCCUCGUGUUUGCAGCCUGGUCACACGAGUGACUGAGACCCGAAAUCUGCCUGACAUCCUCCCUGGAUGCUUGGCCUUGGAACAGCCUCAUUCAUGCCACACCUGCUCCCUUCCGUUCGCGGAGCCUUCUGUGCUGCACUGGACACUGGAAAAGCACUUGGAGAUGGCUGGAGAAGGAAUGGGACUUCCUGGAAAAUGGUCUCUAAACCAGGCCCUUCCCUGUGCCAUGGCUUUUCUGGGGCUCAUUAAUAUCAGUGGUAUGUGCUUAUAUCUCAAUUCUCCAGGAUUAAUUAAAAAUCCACAGACAGUGACAUGCCUAGGGGCUUUUCAAUUAUGUCACUUUUGGCUAAGGCCCUUACAUUUGUAAUAAACAUGACAUGCUUGUAACUGCUGCGGUCUCC